GGAUUCCGCAAACUUUUCUCUGAUAAAUAAAAAGCUAUAUGUUCAUUGUCUCGUCAUCCAGAGAUGUGGGCCCUGCUGAGAUGCUGAAAAGUGAGGAGCUGGGGCUGUGGAGAGCAGAGAAGAUUAGCAAUGUACAUGAGAUAGAUAAUGCCAGGCCCCAGAAUUGAUCUCACAUUGAACUUUAUGCUUACAACACAGGGCAGAGUAACAAAACUCCACCAAAGUUGUUCAGAUGGCUUACUGUUACACUCAGGCCAUUUAUUUCUUUAAUAACAUGUACCCAGUAGUCCCAUUAAUUUAAGAAAUUCUUACUAAACCUUAAUGUAGCAAACAUUCUUGCCACGUUACAGAGAUUUAAACAUAGUGAGUAGCCACAGUUAAUACUCAUGUUGGUCUUGGUCUUCGUUUUUGCAAUAAGAAGGAGGGGAGGUAAGAUUUAAAACUACAAUUUUGGCUUUCACAGAUGCCACAUGAGGAUUUUUCUACUUGAAUGAAUUUACAUAAACAUAUGCAUGUAUACAUAAAUUAUGUUUCUUCUUCAUAUAACUUCCCACUUACCCUAUUUAUCAAAAGCUGAAUUUGGUGAUGUCACAUCUUCUGGUUUGUUGGGACAAUCAAUCCAGUAACUGAUUCCAGAAAACUACACACAAAACUUGGAAUGAAAUGUGAUGAGGAAUUUCAG
rnacentral:lncRNA from 1 species